rnacentral:rRNA from 1 species
UACGGAGGAUGCGAGCGUUAUCCGGAUUUAUUGGGUUUCAAGGGUGCGUAGGCGGACGCUUAAGUCAGCGGUAAAAUUGCGGGGCUCAACCUCGUCGAGCCGUUGAAACUGGGUGCCUUGAGUGGGCGAGAAGUAUGCGGAAUGCGUGGUGUAGCGGUGAAAUGCAUAGAUAUCGCGCAGAACCCCGAUUGCGAAGGCAGCGUGCCGUGCCGCCACUGACGCUGAGGCACGAAAGCGCGGGGAUCGAACAGG